rnacentral:rRNA from 1 species
GAUGAAUGCUGGCGGCGCGCCUAACACAUGCAAGUCGAGCGGAAAGGCCCUUCGGGGUACUCGAGCGGCGGACGGCUGAGUAACGCGUGGGAACAUGCCCCAAAGUGAGGAAUAACUGCCCGAAAGGGUAGCUAAUACCGCAUAUGAUCUUCGGAUUAAAGGAUUUAUCCGCUUUGGGAGUGGCCCGCGUACGAUUAGGUAGUUGGUGAGGUAAAGGCUCACCAAGCCUACGAUCGUUAACUGGUCUGAGAGGAUGAUCAGUCAGACUGGAACUGAGACACGGUCCAGACUCCUACGGGAGGCAGCAGUGAGGAAUCUUCCACAAUGGGCGAAAGCCUGAUGGAGCGACGCCGCGUGCAGGAUGAAGGCCUUCGGGUUGUAAACUUCUUUUGUUAGCGAAGAAUAUGACGGUAACUAACGAAUAAGGGUCGGCUAACUACGUGCCAGCCGCCGCCGUAAAA